GAUCUUUCCAUGCAUGCAAGGUGAAGAUAACGAACAGUGAUCAAUCUCAUAACUCAUAAAAGCAAUGCAAAAUAGAUAGUUGGGCAAACACGGACCCCUGGACACACCGGAGGUGGGAUCAGGUGCCUAGGAGGAGUAAGCAUCGCCUGUUGACCGGUCACACCCGCUGAGAGCCCUAUAUCUUGAUCAGGUAAACGGAGUUAUCCGCAGUCAAAAUCAGUGUGCCAAGAACGGCUUAACAAUCGGUAUGAAACACGUCAGGUUUAUAGUACAUAGGUUGUAAUUAAUUUAUAUACCUGAUGAUUUUAAGAACCAUAUUUCUUAUAGCUAGAAAUACCACUAUUUUCUUAGUCAGUGUCUUUGACAAUUUACUAAUUAAAGAACUGUGUAUACCUAAGUUUACAUGAUUAUUUUCAAGUGAUUGAAAAUCCCAUUCAGAAACAAAACGUCUCUUUCGUGUCGCACUCUUUGUGGAUCUACCUCUAGAUCAGGCAGUGGUCCUACGGAAUUUAUGCCACUUUUCUUUUUGUCAGUUCACUACAGAAAGGCUCCUCAUACAGAACUUCGUGAUUUUUUGUCAUUCCCUUUGAAAUCGAUGUGCAACCUACAUGUUCUAAUUCCUUUGUGAUUUACAGUGAAACUGUCGUAUUAUUGUAGGCGCUACCUUCUUCUGUAUAGUCUCCGUAUUCUGCAAAACAAAUAUGGUAUAUAACUAUUUAUUCCAAAGUGUGUCAUUUUUCUCUGAUUUUAUGUAAUGGUUGAUGGACAAUGGCACGACGUUUUCGAAAAAACCCCAAAAAACAACAGACAGCGUACUUUUCUCCGGUUGUACCUUCUACCUUGAAAGACUUGAGCUUGGGUACCUGCACCACAUUUGCUUUUUCUUCCACAAUGUCGACGUAUUUUUGCACUCCAUCUAUGGUUCUGAAGUAUUAUUAACCCCAUCCUUCUUUUCUGUAGGAACAUCUUUCAUUUCCUUUGAUGUACGAAACGAUGUCAGCAGGAUCACAUGUCACUUCUGUAAAUUCUAUUUCAUCUUCCUCAAGUCUUGCUGUGGAAUAUGUUUCAAAGAGAAAAUUGUCAUAAUUCACACCGACCCCCUCAAAAUUCCAUUAUACCUGUGACUCUGGUUCAUAUGUAAAGCUAGUACAGUGGCACCAACUGUUACUUGUUUCCACUCAAAUCAUCGCUUAAUGACUGUAAGUUCUGCCUCUGAAGCGUUGUUGGUAAUAUCUUAAAAGGGAUAAUAAAGCCCGUAUGAUUCCGUCCAUAUACACUGGAAUUAUAGAACUGGUACCAUUACGUCGCAACGAUAAUGCAGGAUGGAAGAUUUGGUAUUUCCUCCGAAACGACCUUUCGUUUAGAUUAAAAACAAUUAGUAUUUGGACCUUUCUAUUGGCAGAGCAUUUAUCUGUGGUAAACUUCAUAGGACGUGGGCUUAACUGUAUCUUUUCAUGAGUCAUGUAUCCAUUGAAUAAGAGUGUCUGAAAAUUACAUUAUUAUCUUAAAUUUAACUACAUCUUGGUCACUAACAUCCAGAAGCCUUCCAAAUCCAUCUAAAAGAACCUAUUCUUUGAGGUUCCGCAUACAUGGUAUUUCUGACUUGUUUCAUGUUUCGAGAUUUACCACUGUCAUGAUCGUGUGCAGGAUUGGACAAAACAAGAUGGCAGACGGCAUUUCCAAAUAAAGAUCCAGUCAGGAGCGGACUUCCUUAAGCUUAAAAGUUGCAAGUGAAUGAAGUGUGUUCUAUUUUAUGUCUCCUACUAAAACCAUGGUUUUGACAAACCUAAAAGAGCACGUGGAGCAAGGAACUAUCAGUAAGCCGGAAGAGCCAGCUCGAAAAUCUUUAAGUGUUUGAGAAUUUCACCGCGCACAUGAAUCUAAACUUCUGCCACACGUUAGAAGGAGCCUUGUUCUCGAAGAUCAACAUGUUGAAAAGUCUUCAUUUUGCAGAAGUAAAUACAUUUAUAUUGUAUAUACACAUGUAGACCAUGUUCGAUUCCCAACCACUUAACAUUUGUGAUAUCUGCAUGGAAUUAUUAAAACUGAGCAUGGUUUGACGUAUAAUAAUCUCUUCAGGCAUGAUGGUUUACAUUUCACAAAGCUUUCAAUGACAAUAAAGACAAUAAGAUGU